rnacentral:rRNA from 1 species
UACGAAGGGGGCUAGCGUUGCUCGGAAUCACUGGGCGUAAAGCGCACGUAGGCGGCUUUCUAAGUCAGGGGUGAAAUCCUGGAGCUCAACUCCAGAACUGCCUUUGAUACUGGAGAGCUUGAGUUCGGGAGAGGUGAGUGGAACUGCGAGUGUAGAGGUGAAAUUCGUAGAUAUUCGCAAGAACACCAGUGGCGAAGGCGGCUCACUGGCCCGAUACUGACGCUGAGGUGCGAAAGCGUGGGAGCAAACAGG